rnacentral:rRNA from 1 species
AUGCAGUCGACGCUGAGCACCAGCUUGCUGGUGUGGAUGAGUGGCGAACGGGUGAGUAAUACGUGAGUAACCUGCCCUUGACUCUGGGAUAAGCCCGGGAAACUGGGUCUAAUACUGGAUGCUACAUGUCACCGCAUGGUGGUGUGUGGAAAGGGUUUACUGGUCUUGGAUGGGCUCACGGCCUAUCAGCUUGUUGGUGAGGUAAUGGCUCACCAAGGCGACGACGGGUAGCCGGCCUGAGAGGGUGACCGGCCACACUGGGACUGAGACACGGCCCAGACUCCUACGGGAGGCAGCAGUGGGGAAUAUUGCACAAUGGGCGAAAGCCUGAUGCAGCGACGCCGCGUGAGGGAUGACGGCCUUCGGGUUGUAAACUCUUUCAGCAGGAAGAAGCCACAAGUGACGGUACCUGCAGAAGAAGCGCCGGCUAACUACGUGCCAGCAGCCCGCGGUAAUACGUAGGCCGCAAGCGUUGUCCGGAAUUAUUGGGCGUAAAGACUUCGUAGGGCGGUUGGCCGCGUCUUGCU